rnacentral:rRNA from 1 species
UUAAGCGACUAAGCGUACACGGUGGAUGCCCUGGCAGUCAGAGGCGAUGAAGGACGUGCUAAUCUGCGAUAAGCGUCGGUAAGGUGAUAUGAACCGUUAUAACCGGCGAUUUCCGAAUGGGGAAACCCAGUGUGUUUCGACACACUAUCAUUAACUGAAUCCAUAGGUUAAUGAGGCGAACCGGGGGAACUGAAACAUCUAAGUACCCCGAGGAAAAGAAAUCAACCGAGAUUCCCCCAGUAGCGGCGAGCGAACGGGGAGCAGCCCAGAGCCUGAAUCAGUGUGUGUGUUAGUGGAAGCGUCUGGAAAGGCGCGCGAUACAGGGUGACAGCCCCGUACACAAAAAUGCACAUGCUGUGAGCUCGAUGAGUAGGGCGGGACACGUGGUAUCCUGUCUGAAUAUGGGGGGACCAUCCUCCAAGGCUAAAUACUCCUGACUGACCGAUAGUGAACCAGUACCGUGAGGGAAAGGCGAAAAGAACCCCGGCGAGGGGAGUGAAAAAGAACCUGAAACCGUGUACGUACAAGCAGUGGGAGCCUCUUUUAUGGGGUGACUGCGUACCUUUUGUAUAAUGGGUCAGCGACUUAUAUUCUGUAGCAAGGUUAACCGAAUAGGGGAGCCGGAAGGGAAACCGAGUCUUAACUGGGCGUUAAGUUGCAGGGUAUAGACCCGAAACCCGGUGAUCUAGCCAUGGGCAGGUUGAAGGUUGGGUAACACUAACUGGAGGACCGAACCGACUAAUGUUGAAAAAUUAGCGGAUGACUUGUGGCUGGGGGGUGAAAGGCCAAUCAAACCGGGAGAUAGCUGGUUCUCCCCGAAAGCUAUUUAGGUAGCGCCUCGUGAAUUCAUCUCCGGGGGUAGAGCACUGUUUCGGCAAGGGGGUCAUCCCGACUUACCAACCCGAUGCAAACUGCGAAUACCGGAGAAUGUUAUCACGGGAGACACACGGCGGGUGCUAACGUCCGUCGUGAAGAGGGAAACAACCCAGACCGCCAGCUAAGGUCCCAAAGUCAUGGUUAAGUGGGAAACGAUGUGGGAAGGCCCAGACAGCCAGGAUGUUGGCUUAGAAGCAGCCAUCAUUUAAAGAAAGCGUAAUAGCUCACUGGUCGAGUCGGCCUGCGCGGAAGAUGUAACGGGGGCUAAACCAUGCACCGAAGCUGCGGCAGCGACGCUUAUGCGUUGUUGGGUAGGGGAGCGUUCUGUAAGCCUGUGAAGGUGUGCUGUGAGGCAUGCUGGAGGUAUCAGAAGUGCGAAUGCUGACAUAAGUAACGAUAAAGCGGGUGAAAAGCCCGCUCGCCGGAAGACCAAGGGUUCCUGUCCAACGUUAAUCGGGGCAGGGUGAGUCGACCCCUAAGGCGAGGCCGAAAGGCGUAGUCGAUGGGAAACAGGUUAAUAUUCCUGUACUUGGUGUUACUGCGAAGGGGGGACGGAGAAGGCUAUGUUGGCCGGGCGACGGUUGUCCCGGUUUAAGCGUGUAGGCUGGUUUUCCAGGCAAAUCCGGAAAAUCAAGGCUGAGGCGUGAUGACGAGGCACUACGGUGCUGAAGCAACAAAUGCCCUGCUUCCAGGAAAAGCCUCUAAGCAUCAGGUAACAUCAAAUCGUACCCCAAACCGACACAGGUGGUCAGGUAGAGAAUACCAAGGCGCUUGAGAGAACUCGGGUGAAGGAACUAGGCAAAAUGGUGCCGUAACUUCGGGAGAAGGCACGCUGAUAUGUAGGUGAAGCGACUUGCUCGUGGAGCUGAAAUCAGUCGAAGAUACCAGCUGGCUGCAACUGUUUAUUAAAAACACAGCACUGUGCAAACACGAAAGUGGACGUAUACGGUGUGACGCCUGCCCGGUGCCGGAAGGUUAAUUGAUGGGGUUAGCGCAAGCGAAGCUCUUGAUCGAAGCCCCGGUAAACGGCGGCCGUAACUAUAACGGUCCUAAGGUAGCGAAAUUCCUUGUCGGGUAAGUUCCGACCUGCACGAAUGGCGUAAUGAUGGCCAGGCUGUCUCCACCCGAGACUCAGUGAAAUUGAACUCGCUGUGAAGAUGCAGUGUACCCGCGGCAAGACGGAAAGACCCCGUGAACCUUUACUAUAGCUUGACACUGAACAUUGAGCCUUGAUGUGUAGGAUAGGUGGGAGGCUUAGAAGUGUGGACGCCAGUCUGCAUGGAGCCGACCUUGAAAUACCACCCUUUAAUGUUUGAUGUUCUAACGUUGACCCGUAAUCCGGGUUGCGGACAGUGUCUGGUGGGUAGUUUGACUGGGGCGGUCUCCUCCUAAAGAGUAACGGAGGAGCACGAAGGUUGGCUAAUCCUGGUCGGACAUCAGGAGGUUAGUGCAAUGGCAUAAGCCAGCUUGACUGCGAGCGUGACGGCGCGAGCAGGUGCGAAAGCAGGUCAUAGUGAUCCGGUGGUUCUGAAUGGAAGGGCCAUCGCUCAACGGAUAAAAGGUACUCCGGGGAUAACAGGCUGAUACCGCCCAAGAGUUCAUAUCGACGGCGGUGUUUGGCACCUCGAUGUCGGCUCAUCACAUCCUGGGGCUGAAGUAGGUCCCAAGGGUAUGGCUGUUCGCCAUUUAAAGUGGUACGCGAGCUGGGUUUAGAACGUCGUGAGACAGUUCGGUCCCUAUCUGCCGUGGGCGCUGGAGAACUGAGGGGGGCUGCUCCUAGUACGAGAGGACCGGAGUGGACGCAUCACUGGUGUUCGGGUUGUCAUGCCAAUGGCACUGCCCGGUAGCUAAAUGCGGAAGAGAUAAGUGCUGAAAGCAUCUAAGCAUGAAACUUGCCCCGAGAUGAGUUCUCCCUGACCCUUUAAGGGUCCUGAAGGAACGUUGAAGACGACGACGUUGAUAGGCCGGGUGUGUAAGCGCAGCGAUGCGUUGAGCUAACCGGUACUAAUGAACCGUGAGGCUUAACCUU